UACAGUGAAGUGUGAACUCUGAAAUGUGAAUGUUUAAAAUACCUGUGGAUGUUUUACUAAAUCUGUGGAGCCUGGUGUCAUUUUCCACUGAAUAUUCAAAUAACUUAAUAUUUAGACUAAAUGGAUCCACUAGAAGACGAGAUAUGUCAUGUAUGCUUAGAUUCUGGAAGAAAAAUUAUCAAACCUACAUGAUUGUAGUCUCAAGGAAUGUUUCAAACUUAUUUUUAAAAAGCUACAGUUUCUAUGGAACCAACUAUAUUUUGAAUGUGUGGCUAUACUCAUAAAGAUUAAGAGAUUUUAAGAAAAAGUAAUAAGCUCAGAAAAUCUUUGGAAGUCAAUGAAGAAGAUAUAAUAAAUGAAGACUUAAAACUGGAUUUAUUGAAAGACUUCACUGAGAAAAACAUUUAUACUGAGGUGAAAUUGAGUAGGGAGGAAAUAAAAAUAUGUGAUGCUUAUGUCAAUGCUAUGCUUAAGUGUGAGUUGUGUAUAACUACAUAUACAAAUAAUCAAGAUCUAAAAGAACAAAUAAGUGACAAACAUGGUGAAAAAACUAAAUACAUCUGUACAAUAUGCAAGUGCACAUUUAAUUCUGCCAUAUUAUUUAAAUACCACACAGAUAGACAUAAAAAACGUUAUUAGUGCAUGGUCUGUAACAUAAGAUUUUCAUACAGAAAGGAUGUCAUCAAACAAUACAAUCUUGUACACUGUCAUGGGUAUGUUUUGCCUACUUAUCUCUGAACAGGGCCGUCUUAAACAAGGCUGGGGCCCUUGGGCACACAAGAACUUGGGGCCCUUUUGGAAAGUAAAAAGCGAGUUAUAAUAAAAAAUAAGUAUGACCAUUUAUAAUAUGUAAUCAAGUGUAAUAAUAAUAAUUUAUUUAUUUUUCUCCCUUAAUCCUUAUUAUUAUUAAAUUAUUUACCUUUCUCCCGCAUGCGUGU